rnacentral:rRNA from 1 species
UACGUAGGGUGCGAGCGUUAAUCGGAAUUACUGGGCGUAAAGCGUACGUAGGCGGCUUUGUAAGUUAGAGGUGAAAGCCCGGGGCUUAACCCCGGAAUUGCCUUUAAGACUGCAUCGCUAGAAUCAUGGAGAGGUGAGUGGAAUUCCGAGUGUAGAGGUGAAAUUCGUAGAUAUUCGGAAGAACACCAGUGGCGAAGGCGACUCACUGGACAUGUAUUGACGCUGAGGUACGAAAGCGUGGGGAGCAAACAGG